AGAAGCUCCCAGAGAACCAUCAGAUGGACUCAUAGAAGGAAAUCCCCCCGAGAGAUGUCCCCGUCCUCUGUAUUCCCAGGACUGUCCAGAGGAGAAGCUCCCAGAGAACCAUCAGAUGACAAAUCAGGGGGAAGAUGUGACUGAUAUUAAAGUGGAGGAUGAA